rnacentral:rRNA from 1 species
CCUACGGGAGGCAGCAGUGAGGAAUAUUGGUCAAUGGGCGGGAGCCUGAACCAGCCAAGUCGCGUGAGGGAAGACGGUCCUAUGGAUUGUAAACCUCUUUAGGCGGGGAGCAAUGCCGGGCACGUGUGCCCGGAGGGAGAGUACCCGCAGAAUAAGCAUCGGCUAACUCCGUGCCAGCAGCCGCGGUAAUACGGAGGAUGCGAGCGUUAUCCGGAUUUAUUGGGUUUAAAGGGUGCGUAGGCGGGACGGUAAGUCAGCGGUAAAAAUGCGGAGCUCAACUCCGUCGAGCCGUUGAAACUGCCGUU